GCUGACUUCCUGGGGAAAUACUGGGGAAACACUUCCCUUAGGGUCAUAAUGGGAGAUGUGGUUCACAAGUGGGGUCAUCAUUAGACACAUAUCACCACAGGUAUUUAUAAAUCUUUUUAAAAUUUUUCAUGGUCUUAUAAGAGCUAUAUCUUUCCUUGUGAGCCUUUUUUGGAAGUUAGGAAAUAUGAAUAAUACACAUGAAGGCCUCAAAGUAAUGCUUGAUAAGAACUCAAAAAGAAACCUCUCCGUGAAAAGCUGUAGAGGAUGAGCUCAGGACUCUGUGCCUUUGUCCUUUCCCGUGUUGAGGUGUGGAAUUGGUCCCUUUCCAAGGGCAUGUGAUAAACUGACUCACACCAAGGCAGUAAUAAGGGAGGCCAAUCUCCCCCUGGGGCCUUCAACUUUUAGUGGAGUAUUAAAACUUAAUUUAAACUGAUGAAUUGUAAUGGUGAGAUUUCAAGCCCUUCCAUGGGACAAUGGGAAGAUAUAUUUCUUUUUAAAUAAAGGGCUUUAUUCUGAAAUCAGACCACGCCCUUUCAAUGACUGGCACAAACUGCUGGAGAGACGCAAAAGAUGAAGCAGUUAAUCCCGCCACCUCUAGCCCAGGAUGAGAGAGCACCUCACACAUCCCUCUUAGAAGACCAAACUCUGGCCGGUUUUCUGCAUGCCUGAUGCUCCUUGCAGAAACAGAGCCAUCCUGCCUACCUCUGGAAUCCUGGGGCCUCAGGUGGUGCCCAGUCCACAGUAGGAACACAAUAGGAGAUGAGUGAGUAGGGGAGAAGUGAGCAGUUGGAUAUGGCAGGUUAGAAACAGUCCAGCCUCCAGUGGGGCACUCUGCUUACCUACACUUAGGUAAACCCAAACCCUCAAAGCUCACAAGGCCUUGAAAACUCCCAAUUCCAUGAAUCCUGAUUACAAACAACCCGGAGGAACCAUUUAGCUCCCCGAAGACCAACAGAAUCUGUGUGCAAUGUGGGAGGAGAGAAACUCCGGAGCGUGGCCCAGGAAGACAGGUGGCAACCCUAGAAAUGCUACAAUGCCUGUUGAAGCCCCUUCCCCCUGAACUGGCCGACAAUUUUCCUUCCAUAUACAUUAAA
rnacentral:lncRNA from 1 species